AUGCCAGAAAUCCAGGGUUCUAACCCUGUCUUUUUUUGUACUUUUAUAGCAGAAAGAUUACUGCAAUACGCCAGUCUUCAAGUUCAUCAUCCUGUGUCUUUGCGUAAUCAAAUAGCACAGAUUUCAUUCACACGAAAAAAGAUGGGUCACACUGUUGCCGAGGAUGACAUAGAAGACAUACCAAGUUCAGAUGCAAAUUCACCAAUUCUGACUGAACAUCACAUCACAGUCCCAACCCUUCACGACGGACUAAUGCAAGGGGAACACCAACACGAGAGACGGCUUCUGGAUUUCCUGAAGGCAACGCCUUCAGUGCAAUGGCUGAAGGACAUCAACGUCUGCGCGCCACUGGGGAAAAUUCAGCUGCCAUCGAUCGGCGUCCACCGCUACCUCCAUGUCCACUUCAUCAGAACAGUCGACUGGAGCUCACUGCUCGCCAUCUGCAAGAACCACCUCAAGCAUCCUCUCAACAUCGCCCUGCUCAUCUGGCUGCUCUGCGUCGCCGCCGCCGGCGCCAUGCUAGGACUGCUCCUGUUGGGGCUGCUGAACAAGGCAUUCCCUUCCAGGGCCUUGAGACACCACUGGAUAGAGAUCGACAACCAGAUCCUCAACGCUCUCUUCACGCUCAUGAGCAUCUACCAGCACCCCAUCCUCGUCCACCACCUCGUUCUCCUCUGCCGGUGGCGGCCGGAGGACGCCGCCCAGCUAAGGAAGUUGUACUGCAAGAAUGGCGCCCGCCGUCCCAACGAGCGAGCGCACAUGUCCUUCGUGGUGGCCCUCCUCCACGUCACCUGCAUUUCGCAGUACAUGGAGUGCAGCCUCUACUGGGGCUACCCAAGCAGGUCACGCUCCGAGUUCGCGGAGAACUUCUUCUUCAUCCUCGGCGUCUCCGCGCCUGUCGUCGCCGGCGCCCACAUGGUGUACAGCCCUCUAGGCAGAGACGACGACGACGACGCUGCCGCCUCCUGCGAGGAAACCAAGCAGCUCCACCUCCACGCAGCAGCCGGAGCCGAAGAAUCGCCGGAGGAAAGGACGGCGGUCGGCAACCCGAUGUGGGCGGGGGAGCUGCUGGACUGCGGCGAGGACCCGGCGGCGUGCUACCUGUCGUUCCUGUGCACGUUCUGCGUGUUCGGCUGGAACAUGGAGCGGCUCGGGCUGGGCAACAUGUACGUGCACACCGCCAUGUUCCUGCUGCUGUGCGUCGCGCCCUUCUGGGUGUUCAACGUCACGGCGCUCAGCAUCCACGACUACGUCCUCAGCGACGCCUUCGGCGCCGCCGGGGUGGUGCUCUGCUUCCUCGGCCUCCUGUACGGCGGGUUCUGGAGGAUCCAGAUGAGGAAGCGGCUCGGGCUGCCCCGGAGCAGGUGGUGCUGCGGCUCGUCGUCGCUGACGGACUACGCGCAGUGGCUCCUCUGCUGGCCGUGCGCGCUCGCGCAGGAGGUGCGCACGGCGAACCUGUACGGCCUGAGGGACGACGGCGGUUUCUACGGGAAGCUGGUGGACGGCGGUGACCCGGAGCGAGGGCCGGACGUGCCGGUCUCCGUUGGGGUGCGCGAGGGGAUCGAUGCUGCCGUCCAUCUCGCGGUGGACGGAGAGAUGAUCCCGCCCGUCCAGCCGGUGGUAGAGUCUGGACGGCAGAGGCAAGCCGGCGACGAAGAAAUUGUUGCAAAUGGCAGUAGCGUCCAGCUCAAAAGUUGA
rnacentral:rRNA from 1 species